rnacentral:rRNA from 1 species
GACGAACGCUGGCGGCGUGCCAAUCCAUGCAAGUAGAACGCACAGUUUAUACCGUAGCUUGCUAAACCAUAGACUGUGAGUUGCGAACGGGUGAGUAACGCGUAGGUAACCUGCCUGGUAGCGGGGGAUAACUAUUGGAAACGAUAGCUAAUACCGCAUAAUAUUGAUUAUUGCAUGAUAAUUGAUUGAAAGAUGCUAUUGCAUCACUAACAGAUGGACCUGCGUUGUAUUAGCUAGUAGGUGAGGUAACGGCUCACCUAGGCGACGAUACAUAGCCGACCUGAGAGGGUGAUCGGCCACACUGGGACUGAGACACGGCCCAGACUCCUACGGGAGGCAGCAGUAGGGAAUCUUCGGCAAUGGACGAAAGUCUGACCGAGCAACGCCGCGUGAGUGAAGAAGGUUGUCGGAUCGUAAAGCUCUGUUGUAAGAGAAGAACGGGUGUGAGAGUGGAAAGUUCACACUGUGACGGUAUCUUACCAGAAAGGGACGGCUAACUACGUG